AUUGGCUGAGGCGCAGCGCGUGGGAGCGGCCGUUGGCGGCCGGCUCGGGGCCACCCGGCUCUCCCCUCAGACAGCGCCGCAUCCACAGCCCGGGCCGCCCCGCUCGGCACCGCCGCUGCAGCCGCUGUGCGGGUGUCAUGGUUUUAUCCUUGGUGGUGACUGCAAUUCCACAUCGUAACAUCAUGUAGUGCACCUGGAGUUAAAGCAUUAAUGCUCCAGUUCCGGGCACCUGUCUGAAAGAGAAGAACUACAUUCCCAGGGGGGCUUUGUGGUCAGAGAGGAGAUAGAACCUCUGGCAAAGUCACCUGAUCUCUUCUUCUUCCCUCGGCUCUUGUCCCGACCGCACGCAUCGCCUCAGCACUACUAUCGUUGCCGCUGCUUUUAAUUAUUUUGGGGUCCCCUGUUUCCCUUUUCUGGAGGUGUGGAUUUUGCGAAAUCCCUCCACCCCGCUGGUCACAGAACUGAGCCGAACCAGCCUGUAAACCAUUGACAGCGGGCAGUACUGAGAUGGAACCGCGGCACUGAGGAGCGGUGCUGAGGACAGCAGUGCCACAGCUCUACAUAUAACACUACAACAAACGUGACAGACGAAGACCCAUCCCUGUGGAGCGGCACUACUCCCUCCACGUUCUCCAGAACCAUCGGCGCAACCUGGGCCUGGUGGGCGGCACAUCUUCCAGCACGCUGAGGAUCAGCAGUGUCUGCAGCACCAGACAGCGCACGGUCGGCUCGCUGUCCUCCUUGGCGCCCUCCAGGGCUGCAAUGGAACAGUGCUGUGUCACCACGUGGGCCCCACACGGCGCUUCCUGGGGCACGGGGCAGCGGGGGGGACGGCUCACCUUUACGGAUGUCCAACACCUUCUCCCGGUUCUCAUUCCUCAGCUUUCGCCCUAGCAGCCCUGCGCACAUGGCUGCUGUCAGCGCUCGCCCGGCCCCGCGGCGCCCAGGGACCUCACAGCAUCCCAGGGACCCCCACGGUGCUCCACGGACCUCCAAAAACCCCAUACUACCCUAAUAGUGUCCCCAUCAUUUCCAGCAAUCCUUCAGUGUCUCAGGGACCUAUGGUGUCCCAGUGACCCCUGUGGUGCCCAUCUGCCCCCAAGGACCCCAGUGACCCCCAGAGACCCAACACAAUGCUUCAGUGAACCCCAUAGUGCCCCAGUAAGCCCAGUGUUGCCCUAAUAACUCCCAAGAACCCCACCAUUUCCCCAGUGGUCCCCCAGGGCCCCCGCUGCGCACCGACCCCACAGCAUUCAGCCAGAGGGAUGGGGACCCACUGGGGAUGGGACUCACCGAGGAAGCGCACAGCCGUGUCCCUCACGGGCACCUGGGGGCUGUGCAGGUGCAGCACCGUGUCCUUCAGGUACUGCUCCGCAUCUCUGCCCCUCUUCUGAAGCUGCAGAGAGCAUGGUGGGGGUGGCACCCGCAGAGUGGCUCCCCGACCCCCCUUCUGCAGGGCAGCAAGGGGGGUCCAGAGGGGUUGAGGGGUGGGGGUCCUUACCAGGCAGUCAGCAAUCAUCCAGACCUCCGCCGCACAGGCCAAGCGUUGCAGUUGCUGCCAGCCCAGGAGCUUGGCGGCGUGGAUCAGAGCUUUCUGAGCAGCCUGGGGAGCAGUGACACGGGAGGGUGUUGG